GCUGUGGCUCAGUCACAGAGAAUCUGCCUUGUGUGCACGAGGUCCCAGGUUCAAUCCCUGCCAUCUGCA